GAAGUCGUUGGGACAUAAUUAUAGGAAAGAUCAAUCUGCUUCAAGAGGCCAUGGAAAUGAUUGUGUUUUUUGCUUUACUUGCUUUGAGCUGCUCAGCUGCUGUAGCUGACUCUCAGUCUCAACAAGAUGACACUAUGGAUGCAGAAUUCAUUGCUCUGAUGAACGUUUUCGAUCAAAAAGCCAAGGAGCAGCAUGAUACAUCCAACUCUGAAGCUGAGCUGCAAAGCCUCAAUCAGAAAGCAAUAGAGCAGAGUCACACAUCUAACUUUGAAGCUAGGUCGCAAAGCCUCAAAGAUUCACUCGCCAAGGCAAUGGCGGACAGUUGCACUGGGCAUUGCCGGUCAGCAAACCAUGGAGAUGGAGUAAUAAUUGGAACGGCACCAUUCUGUGGCGGAAAAUGUAGUGUUGAUUGUCCCCAUCGUCAGUGCUACAUAGGUACUCUUCACUGGUCUGACUAUGGAGCGGGAUGCUGGUGGGGCAACAAAGUGUGCUGCUGUGCACACUGAUAAAGUAAAGGAAAGACGAAGGACACAGUAAACUGUUACAUAAUGUGUUGUUUAUUAGAAAUCAAUAAGUACAAAAGCAAACAUAAGAGAUUUAUGUAAUGGUUAGAUCAUGUGCAUGAGAUAUCUAUGUGUUAUAGUGUCCCAAAUCCCGAGGGGACACUAUAACCAUAGAUACCGAAUGCACAUGCUCUAACCCAUUUAGAUCCUACUUUUCAUUGGCUAAACAAAACAUUACCUAAGGCAAAACAUUUUUUUAAAUCAAAGCCUUAGUAUUAUUCGUCAAGUUUUACUCAUGCUGAACAUGCUGAAAGAGUUCUGAACACUCAAGUUGCCCCUGUAUGGAUGAACUAUACAUGUAGUUAGCCUGAACCUAUUAGCUCACCCAUACCUAGAGUCUAUAAACAAGCUCUCUUGCAAGAAACAUUCUGCUACACCUAUACACAAGCCCUACAACUAUUUGUUUCUCAGUGUAGCCAAAAAGGAACAGCUUGCAAAAACUCAAGCCAAUUUAAGCCAAUACUCAAGUUAUACAACUUGAAUGCGUAUAAGAAAACAAAUCCCCAGAAAACCUGCAAUACAAUGACAUUUAUACAGACAAUUAUUAUUAUUUGUAUUUUUUUUUUUAUUGCAUGCAUGCUUAUAAGUUGUUGUGUACUGCAUAUUUAAUAGCAAUCAUGUCAGAUAGCUGUAUUGUAUGAUCUUCACUAGUAUUGUAUUCAAUAGCCAAAGGCAUUUAUUAGACACUAGUUGAUAAGAUCUACAUGUACAUGGGAAGUACAUGGGAAGUACAUGGGAAAAGUGCCUCAGAGCAGGUAUACUAUUAGCCUCGAUCGCAGGCCGCUCUUCCUCAAAGAGAGGGCCUGGUAUCGACUGUUUGCGCAUGCGCCACAUAAUCCCCAGAAACUGGGGACUCCGGAUAUUAUCGUAUAAUGCUCAGUAAAACAAUGACGUCACAACGAACAGAAGUGGAUUGAAGAAAGUGGAUAGAAGUGCGAUUGUGAAGGUUUCUAGCUCCUGUGAUAGCAUUCUAAUAGCUACCCCCUAGCCUGCUAUGUUAACAAAGGACUCACAGCCUGCAACUGUGUGGACGACAAUCGUCUGAACGGAGGGAAGGCUGACAAUAGCCUAUAUGGACAGGCCACGCCCAUCUGACACUAACCUAGGUGAAAGUCUACAUGUAGACUCUAUUAGAAGAAAUAGCUGCUGUAACCAAACGUACAGCUCUGUCUCUAGUUAGCUAGCUAGCUAUAUAGCUCUGUGUAUGUAGUAUUCUUUGUGUGUAUAUGUUAUUCAGGAUAUUUUUCGGGGUUUAAUGGGAAACAUUACGGGGAAAUUAUCCAAUAAUUUUGCGCAUGCGCAAACAGUCAGUAGCAGGCCUCCUUUUUGAGGCCUUGUGAAGGAGGCUAGUAUACUAUGGGACUUAGUAUACCUAGUAUUCCGUUGUCAAGUAAUUGUAUUGUAGUCAAGCGAUUUGCGCAAGUGCACUAAUAUCUAAAUGAGUUAGACACUGUGUCUAACUAUUAUAUAGAGCAUGUUGUCAGGUGCUCUAUUAGAAAUAGAGCACAUAGCAACAUAAGCAAAUACACUCAAGUGGGAUCUAAGAGUAUAAUAUUAUACAGGUAUCAUAUGAUAUGGUACAAUCCGACACUUAUAGAUCUAUGGCAAGUAUGUCAUGCCAUGCAUGCAGUGUCAUGAACAAUGUUUGUUGAGAAUAUUUUAAACAAAUUGCAGGUACAUGCUCUGCUGCAUAUAUAUAUCCAACUAGAAAAACAUUUGCAAUGUGAAAAAUUGCUAGGAUUGGCCAGGGGAAACAAGCACCCACGUUGGGUCAAUUAGCACCCAUAUAACCCACACACAUACACAUGAGUUAAAGUGAUACCAGCGUGCUAAAAUAGGACGCAUGUACUCACUAAUGUGCCGAUUUGACAUUUAGUAUUUAGCCGACAUGUGUGUCACGGUAACAGACUUGUUUUUACAAUGUAUGGAAGUACCACACUACACGUGUGUCACGGUAACAGACUUGUUUUUACAAUGUAUGGAAGUAUCACACUACACGUGUGUCACGGUAACAGACUUGUUUUUACAGUGUAUGGAAGUACCACACUACACGUGUGUCACGGUAACAGACUUGUUUUUACAGUGUAUGGAAGUACCACACUACACGUGUGUCACGGUAACAGACUUGUUUUUACAGUGUAUGGAAGUACCACACUACACGUGUGUCACGGUAACAGACUUGUUUUUACAGUGUAUGGAAGUACCACACUACACGUGUGUCACGGUAACAGACUUGUUUUUACAGUGUAUGGAAGUAUCACACUACACGUGUGUCACGGUAACAGACUUGUUUUUACAGUGUAUGGAAGUGCCACACUACACGUGUGUCACGGUAACAGACUUGUUUUUACAAUGUAUGGAAGUACCACACUACACGUGUGUCACGGUAACAGACUUGUUUUUACAAUGUAUGGAAGUACCACACUACACGUGUGUCACGGUAACAGACUUGUUUUUACAGUGAUAUAUAUAUACAAGAGUAUAUAUAAUAAUUAUAAGAAAGAAACCUUGUUCAUUGCAGAUACUUUCACGGGGAAUAUACAAUGUGGUUAAAAUGCACAUGCAUGCAGUGCAUAUAUAAGGAAGUCGUUGGGACAUAAUUAUAGGAAAGAUCAAUCUGCUUCAAGAGGCCAUGGAAAUGAUUGUGUUUUUUGCUUUGCUUGCUUUGAGCUGCUCAGCUGCUGUAGCUGACUCUCAGUCUCAACAAGAUGACACUAUGGAUGCAGAAUUCAUUGAUCUGAUGAACGUUUUCGAUCAAAAAGCCAAGGAGCAGCAUGAUACAUCCAACUCUGAAGCUGAGCUGCAAAGCCUCAAUCAGAAAGCAAUAGAGCAGAGUCACACAUCUAACUUUGAAGCUAGGUCGCAAAGCCUCAAAGAUUCACUCGCCAUGGCAAUGGCGGCCAGUUGCAGUGGGCAUUGCCAGUCAGCAAACCAUGGAAAUGGAAGAAUAAUUGGAACGGCACCAUCCUGUAACGGAAAAUGUAGUAGGGAUUGUCCCAAUCAUCAGUGCUACAUAGGUACUCUUCACUGGUCUGACUAUGGAUAUGGAUGCUGGUGGGGCAACAAAGUGUGCUGCUGUGAUGCUGCUGUGGUGAGGCAAAAAUGAUUUAUUUCUUAACAUAAUUAUAUUAUCAUUAUAUACAUGUACAUGCAUACAGCACACUGAUAAAGUAAAGGAAAGACGAAGGACACAGUAAACUGUUACAUAAUGUGUUGUUUAUUGAAAUCAAUGCUUAUUAUAAGUACAAAAGCAAACAUAAGAGAUUUAUGCAAUGG